UACGUAGGGUGCGAGCGUUAAUCGGAAUUACUGGGCGUAAAGCGUGCGUAGGCGGUUCGUUGUGUCUGUGGUGAAAGCCCCGGGCUUAACCUGGGAAUGGCCAUGGAAACUGGCGAGCUGGAGUGUGGCAGAGGGGGGUGGAAUUCCUGGUGUAGCAGUGAAAUGCGUAGAGAUCAGGAGGAAUACCGAUGGCGAAGGCAGGUCCCCGGGCUGACACUGACGCUCAUGCACGAAAGCGUGGGGAGCAAACAGG
rnacentral:rRNA from 1 species